CUACUUUCUCCUUGGGUCGACGGGCGAUCAAGAAGGCCCGUAGCUUUGGUCAAUGACCCACAUUGCACUUGGUGGGUGCGUUGGCCCAUCAUCUCCCCAAGUGGGAGAAUGAACAUCAUAAUUUGUGAUAGAGGAACGCGUACCCCUGCCAAUCCUUU